GAUGAACGCUGGCGGCGUGCCUAAUACAUGCAAGUCGAGCGAACGGACGUGUAUCUUGCUUCUCUGAUGUUAGCGGCUGAUGGGUGAGUAACACGUGGAUAACCUACCUUGAAUACUGGGAUAACUGCGGGAAACCGGAGCUAAUACCGGAUGAUGUGUGGUACCGCAUGGUUCAAAAGUGAAAGACUGUGUUUGUUUGCGUUAUAGUGUGGUCCGCGCUGCAUUAGCUAGUUGGUAAGGUAACGGCUUACCAAGGCAACGAUGCAUAGCCGACCUGAGAGGGUGAUCGGCCACACUGGAACUGAGACACGGUCCAGACUCCUACGGGAGCACGCAGUAGGCACACUUCCGCAAUGGGCGAAAGCCUGACGGAGCAACGCCGCGUGAGAGAUGAAGGAAUUCGGAUCGUAAAACUCUGUUAUUAGGGAAGACAAAAAAUGUAAGUAACUGUGCACAUCUUGACGGUACCUAAUCAGAAAGCCACGGCUAACUACGUG
rnacentral:rRNA from 1 species